rnacentral:rRNA from 1 species
GAUGAACGCUGGCGGCGUGCCUUAUACAUGCAAGUCGAGCGAACAGAUGAGGAGCUUGCUCCUCUGACGUUAGCGGCGGACGGGUGAGUAACACGUGGAUAACCUACCUAUAAGACUGGGAUAACUUCGGGAAACCGGAGCUAAUACCGGAUAAUAUAUUGAACCGCAUGGUUCAAUAGUGAAAGACGGUUUUGCUGUCACUUAUAGAUGGAUCCGCGCCGCAUUAGCUAGUUGGUAAGGUAACGGCUUACCAAGGCAACGAUGCGUAGCCGACCUGAGAGGGUGAUCGGCCACACUGGAACUGAGACACGGUCCAGACUCCUACGGGAGGCAGCAGUAGGGAAUCUUCCGCAAUGGGCGAAAGCUUGACGGAGCAACGCCGCGUGAGUGAUGAAGGUCUUCGGAUCGUAAAACUCUGUUAUUAGGGAAGAACAAAUGUGUAAGUAACUAUGCACGUCUUGACGGUACCUAAUCAGAAAGCCACGGCUAACUACGUG